rnacentral:rRNA from 1 species
UACGUAGGGUCCGAGCGUUGUCCGGAAUUAUUGGGCGUAAAGAGCUCGUAGGCGGUCUGUCGCGUCGGCUGUGAAAACCCGCGGCUCAACCUCGGGCCUGCAGUCGAUACGGGCAGACUAGAGUGCGGUAGGGGAGACUGGAAUUCCUGGUGUAGCGGUGAAAUGCGCAGAUAUCAGGAGGAACACCGGUGGCGAAGGCGGGUCUCUGGGCCGUAACUGACGCUGAGGAGCGAAAGCGUGGGGAGCGAACAGG